CAUGAAUCAACAUCAGUAUCAUCCACUGGAGGAGCUAAUCCAUCAGCUACUGUUGAUGUUGAGAGAUUGAAGAAAAUCAUUAACAAUGUUCUUGUAUCUCGUGAUGCUGCACUCAAUUCUCUUAAGACGUCUCUCUCAGAUCUUGCCAGUCAGUUAUAUGCAGCUCAUCUUAUUAGUGAUGAAGUCAGAGAGACUCGUAGCAUGGAAAAGUUCAUUACAGAAUUCAAGGCUAGUCUUAAUUUUAAGAGGAAGUUGCCUCAAGUGCAGGAGCACUGUCAAAAGUUCUUAAGCUCAUUCAUUGCUGUAAGAGGCAGUUAUGCUGAUGCAGCAAUAGCUUUAGGUGAGGACUGGAUUGAAGCUAUU